UACGGAGGGGGCAAGCGUUGUUCGGAAUCAUUGGGCGUAAAGGGCGCGUAGGUGGUCCUGUAUGUCUACCGUGAAAGCAUACAGCUCAACUGUAUUUUGUCGGUAGAAACUGCAGGACUUGAGGCUGGGAGGGGCUGGUGGAAUUCCCUGUGUAGCGGUGAAAUGCGUAGAGAUGGGGGAGAACACUCGUGGCGAAGGCGGCCAGCUAGACCAGUUCUGACACUGAGGCGCGACAGCGUGGGGAGCAAACAGG
rnacentral:rRNA from 1 species